rnacentral:rRNA from 1 species
UGCAGUCGAACGGUGAAGCCAAGCUUGCUUGGUGGAUCAGUGGCGAACGGGUGAGUAACACGUGAGCAACCUGCCCUGGACUCUGGGAUAAGCGCUGGAAACGGCGAUCUAAUACUGGAUAUGAGCUCUCAUCGCAUGGUGGGGGUUGGAAAGAUUUUUCGGUCUGGGAUGGGCUCGCGGCCUAUCAGCUUGUUGGUGAGGUAAUGGCUCACCAAGGCGUCGACGGGUAGCCGGCCUGAGAGGGUGACCGGCCACACUGGGACUGAGACACGGCCCAGACUCCUACGGGAGGCAGCAGUGGGGAAUAUUGCACAAUGGGCGGAAGCCUGAUGCAGCAACGCCGCGUGAGGGAUGACGGCCUUCGGGUUGUAAACCUCUUUUAGCAGGNAAGAAGCGAGAGUGACSGUACCUGCAGNAAAAAGCGCCGGNCUAACUACGUGCCAGCAGCCGCGGUAAUACGUAGGGCGCAAGCGUUAUCCNGGAAUUNAUUGGGCGUAAAGAGCUCGUAGGCGGUUUGUCGCGUCUGCUGUGAAAUCCCGAGGCUCAACCUCGGGCCUGCAGUGGGUACGGGCAGACUAGAGUGCGGUAGGGGAGAUUGGAAUUCCUGGUGUAGCGGUGGAAUGCGCAGAUAUCAGGAGGAACACCGAUGGCGAAGGCAGAUCUCUGGGCCGUAACUGACGCUGAGGAGCGAAAGGGUGGGGAGCAAACAGGCUUAGAUACCCUGGUAGUCCACCCCGUAAACGUUGGGAACUAGUUGUGGGGACCAUUCCACGGUUUCCGUGACGCAGCUAACGCAUUAAGUUCCCCGCCUGGGGAGUACGGCCGCAAGGCUAAAACUCAAAGGAAUUNGACGGGGNACCCGCACAAGCGGCGGAGCAUGCGGAUUAAUUCGAUGCAMCGCGAAGAACCUUACCAAGGCUUGACAUACACCARAACACCNGUARAAANUACGGGACUCUUUGGACACUGGNUGAANCAGGUGGUGCAUGGUUNGUCGUCASCUCGUGUCGUGAGAUGUUGGGUUAAGUCCCGCAACGAGCGCAACCCUCGUUCUAUGUUGCCAGCACGUAAUGGUGGGAACUCAUGGGAUACUGCCGGGGUCAACUCGGAGGAAGGUGGGGAUGACGUCAAAUCAUCAUGCCCCUUAUGUCUUGGGCUUCACGCAUGCUACAAUGGCCGGUACAAAGGGCUGCAAUACCGUGAGGUGGAGCGAAUCCCAAAAAGCCGGUCCCAGUUCGGAUUGAGGUCUGCAACUCGACCUCAUGAAGUCGGAGUCGCUAGUAAUCGCAGAUCAGCAACGCUGCGGUGAAUACGUUCCCGGGUCUUGUACACACCGCCCGUCAAGUCAUGAAAGUCGGUAACACCUGAAGCCGGUGGCCCAACCCUUGU